rnacentral:rRNA from 1 species
UGGUGGAGUGAUUUGUCUGGUUAAUCCCGUUAACGAACGAGACUCUAGCCUGCUAAAUAGACGGGCGAUCCCUUUGUGGGUCGACCCGAUUGCUUCUUAGAGGGACAAGUGGCGUUCCCAGCCACGCGAAAUUGAGCAAUAACA